GAAAACCGGAAGUAGAAAAAAAUAACUCAUUAUUAAAAAUCUAACAAGUGAGCUUUGUUGCUGAAACAGAAAGUGACAGUUAUCACCCAAAAUUUCUUUGUAGAGCAGCGAGAUGUACAAAGUAAACGUAAUUAAACUGAGCCGAAAACGAUCAAAGGCUAUGCCGUCUAGCGUAAGAAAAUUGAAACGUUUAACAGUAACAUGAAAACAAUGUCCGCUCUAGCUAGUUGACAGUUUACACUCAUUGAAAGAACUUACAAAACAUAGAAAAUAACUUUGAUACUCACGUAAUAUUCUCCCCUCGUCUUCAUAAAAGAGCCACCACCGCCGCAUCACACAUCACAACAGACGAAAUCACCAAGGUCUUGAUGGCCAUUGAUUUUCUGACUGUUAAUGGAGCUGCUGCCUAAUGAGGAGUUGGUGAAAGGUAUGCUUAAAGCAGUUGCUGCUGCUGGCCUUGGUGUCUCAAUUCCAUUUGUGGUUCGUUAAUUUGUCUGCCAUGUCAAAUCUCUUCCUUUUGUGACUAAAAUUUCAUCUGUGCAGUAUUAUGAAUGAUUGAGGAAAACUGAUCUUACAUGAUAGUGUAGGAGUGAUUUAAUUCACAACUGCUUGAUCAAAAAAAUUUGGGCCAAACAAAAAUUUGCACUGGGAUAAUUACAUUGUUUAUUCUUCAAUUUCAGAGACACA